rnacentral:misc_RNA from 1 species
UUGAUUCGGUUGCGUAAAGCUUGCUUCAGACGGCACCGUUGGUGAGAGUUGUUGGGGUCUCCGGCGGGUGCUCUCCGGCCCGGAGGCCGGAGGGGCGUGGCGGUACCCUCGACCAGCGAGGGACGCCAGGGGCCACGCCCCGCCAAAGCAACAGAAUUGGGGUACACAAAGGGUUGGAGGGUCCGCUUUCGCGAGACUUCUCGGUAAUGAUCCUUCCGCAGGUUCACCUACGGAAA